AGGAAAGAGAGGGAUUCGAACCCUCGGUAAACAGAAGUCUACAUAGCAUUUCCAAU
rnacentral:tRNA from 1 species